GUAGCUCCGGGGGCCCCUAUAUAUCUGCCUAUCUGGACUAGAUACUUGCCUCUAGGAUUGAUCUCAACGUCGCCACAAGCCCACAAGACCAAAGGUUAACGCGCAGGAGCGACGAGAUUUUACCAUCCAAUCUUAACCUAGACCCGCGGUCGCCGCCAUGGCUAGGCCGCAGCAGAAGGUCGUCACCGUUCUGCUAUUGCUCCUCUGUGCCGCCUCCGCCAUAGUAGAAUCAAGUAAGUAGCACGCGCCACGCCUCACGAGUUCAAAUUGGAUCUCUUGUAAAUAAGAAAAAAUACACACACACAAGUCGGUCAUCAUUUGGUUUGUUCAUCAUCAGUUGCAUGCGUAUGUUAUCGCAUUACAUUACUUAGGAGACUCCAGUGAUCAUGCAUGUGUGUUUCAGAUUUUUAUCCCUGGUGAUGAGAAGAACCUUUUUUUCAAGAUUGCACAUGAAUCUGAAGACUUCAACUUCGUUAAUUAACCUACCUAAUAAUGCAUGUGUUGUGUGAUUCUGCCCCCCGUUGCUGCAGAUGGUUUCACGUUCACGGUGGAUUUCCCCGAAAGGGUGUUCCGCGAGCUGUCGCGCCAGCGCCACGCCGCGGCCGCUCAGCCCGCUGCUGGCCCGUCGAUCUCGCCCGCGCACCCGCCUUCUGGCUCGGCGCCCGCUCCG
rnacentral:lncRNA from 1 species